GGCUACCUGGCCUUUGUUUGCUGUUCAUCAUGGCAGCAGUGGUGGAGAGAUAAUUUGGUUGUUGCUGGUGGCCAAAAGCUAUUGUGGAAGCUUGUUGAUUGGGCCCAGUGGAGACAUGAGGAGCGUUCUCAAACGCCCAGCCCGUCCUGUUGUACCCACGGAGGGUCAAAGACUCAGUGUGUCUUAAGUGGAACAUACCAUUGUCAGCGGCGGGGGGACACCGUUGUCUUUCCCAUACGUUGUUUUUGUUUUGUUUUGUUUUAUUUGAUGUGCGCAUGUCGAGCUCUCAGAGACAGGUUGUAGGCUACUUGAUGUGGUCUUGAACACACUGUUUGCCUCAGUCAUUUACUCCUUGGGGGAGCAAGGAGUGGGUAACUGGAGCGGUAACUCAGUGAGGAUAGCAGAGUGGUGUGGGCCCAUUGGGCUGUGGUGUAUCUACCUGGUUUGGUGAACAUAUCAUGAAUGCUUUUAGCCUGCUUGGCUAGGAUACACCUACUGUGCAUUGUGAACGCCUUCAUUUACCAUUGCAUGCUGUCUUUGUUUCUUUGGUUGAAGUGUUUUAUAUUUAUUCCUUUUUUUGUUUUAUUUUUACUUAGAUGUGUUAAUCUUGGUUUGCUGUGUACUGGGUGUAG